GGGAUUGUGCAGUGGCAGUGUUGUCGCCAGCGAGGUUUAUCCAAGGUGUGAUUAUUGCCGAUUGAAAACUCUUCCCACUAUCCUGCCAUGAUGACUUGAAGUAUAGUCGACGUUGGCAGUGUCUCACAGUCUUUAUGGAGA
rnacentral:snRNA from 1 species